UACGUAGGGACCGAGCGUUGUCCGGAUUUAUUGGGCGUAAAGAGCUCGUAGGCGGCCGUCCACGUCGGGUGUGAAAGCUCGGGGCUCAACCCUGAGAGGCCAUUCGAUACGGGACGGCUUGAGGCAGCUAGGGGAGAUUGGAAUUCCUGGUGUAGCGGUGAAAUGCGCAGAUAUCAGGAGGAACACCGGUGGCGAAGGCGGAUCUCUGGGGCUGUUCUGACGCUGAGGAGCGAAAGCUGGGGGAGCGAACAGGAUUAGAUACCCUGGUAGUCCCAGCCGUAAACGUUGGGUGCUAGGUGUGGGGUGGUCUUCAACCCAUUCCGUGCCGCAGCUAACGCAUUAAGCACCCCGCCUGGGGAGUACGGCCGCAAGGCUAAA
rnacentral:rRNA from 1 species